GGUGCGGCCUCCCGGGGCGCUGUCAGGCCGUGCCCGCCGCCGCAGCAGUAGCUGCAGAACCUCCGUGUGGCCACGGCUAGCGGCCACAUGCAGCGGGGUGGUCAGCUCCUCCUGGAAGAUUCUAGGGUCUCUUCCAGCAGCCAGAAACAUCCAGCAAAAUCAGAAGACACAGCCCUGACCACUGCCUCGGCGUUUUCUUGCCAGGCUUUUUCUGGUUGGGACAAGCACACAGGUGACUAUCCUUGGUCUCCACUGCCCCGCCCUUGGUGCCCUCCCCUGCCAGCUGCAGCCCCUCAUCUGCCUUUGGAGCCUUCAAGAGUCUCCCAUCCUCCCUGUCCACGGCCAGACGAAGGUUCCUCAGCUCCUGCCGCAUGAGCUCGUCCACCUGGGGACAGAUAGAAGACAAGGGGGAGCCUCAGGAAGAUGGGGUGCCAGGGCUGCCGGUGGAGCAAGAAGUAUGCACAGGGUCAGCGAGACCUACAGAGGAUGAGUUGGACACCUUAGUGCGGGCUGAAGGUCAGGAGGAGGUGGGUGGGGAGGAGCCUGCAGUGCUGCCAGUGCCCACGCCCGAGGGUCCCCACACAGCCUCACACCUGUGCGCGGAUCUCUACUUCCGCUUCCUUCCGCUUCUCCUCCCGGAGGGUCUCGGGGUCAAAGCUCUGGCUGGGGUGUUUGGCCUCAUUCCGGUUCUUCCACACAUCUGAUCACAGAAAGCAAAGGAGUACGUGAAGCCAGAGUUCCACACACACGUGCACACGCCCACAGACACACAUGCUCACACUGGCCCCAGCUGUUCCCCGUUUCCAUCUGGCCCUUUUGGGCUUCACCCCAAACCCUGUGGCCACAGGGUUCAGACCCAAACGCAAACACCCAGACCCAAGGAAUCACUACCGUUCCUUCCACAGCCACAUCCCCCACAGUCCCCUCACAUCCCCAUAUCAGGUGCCCACUUGUUCCAUGGCCAGGGCCCCCAAGACCAACACAUUCCAGUGUCCUCCUUCUUACUUGUGUAUUCCUGGUGUCCUGCACUGAUCACAGGUAUAAAUUUGGAGGGAAACACUUGAAGCAUUGUUUCCACUUCCUAGGACAGAAAUAUCUUUUUGCCACGUGUGCUGGGGCACACCUGUUAUCCCAGCACUCGGGAGGCUGAGGCAGGAGGAUUGCCAUGAGUUCAAGGCCAG